GGUAAGAACAGACACUUUAUUGCACACGAUGGGGGAGUAGAGAGGAAGGGGGCUCCAGGGAACAAUGCCUCGUCCCCUCCCCUGGUCUGAGUGGUCUUGACCUACCCAGGGCUCUGCCGGCCAUGAACUUGUGCCAGGACCUAAAGUGAUGCUCGCUGUCUGCACCUGGGCCUGUACCAAGCCGCGCUCGGGGUGAGGGGGGACCCAGGGCCCCUGCCCAGCCCUGU